UACGUAGGGGGCAAGCGUUGUCCGGAAUCAUUGGGCGUAAAGCGCGUGUAGGCGGCUCGAUAAGUCUGCUGUGAAAGUCCAGGGCUCAACCCUGGGAUGCCGGUGGAUACUGUCGAGCUCGAGUCCGGAAGAGGCGAGUGGAAUGCCUGGUGUAGUGGUGAAAUGCGUAGAGAUCGGGAGGAACACCAGUGGCGAAGGCGGCUACCUGGACCAGCACUGACACUGAGGCACGAAAGCGUGGGGAGCAAACAGG
rnacentral:rRNA from 1 species